AAAUUAUUGAGCACUGCCCUUUGCUUACCUUCUUUAAUUUGAAAAUUUUGCAGGAAAAAGUUACAAACAGGAAGCGGGGAGGCAAGAGCCAAACAUGGUGUACCAACAAACCAUAUAUAAAACCAACUAGAUACUGCUGACGGUAUGUUUGAUUGCAAAAAUGGAAGUUACAUGAGCAUUUCAGAGUAAACGCCUCUGCUUAGUGACCCUGCUUAAUACAUCUGAUUUCUAAAGAAUCCUUGGGUCGCCACGUUCAAGCUAUGCAUAGUAAACAAGAUUACGGGCCAAUCAUUUUCAGCUGCUUGACCUGUAAAAGCUGUACAUAUAACCGAUGAUUCACCUCGUGGCAGAAGUUUAGUGACAUGUAGUUGUAUUUAGAACUGGCAUGACUCAUCAAACAUGAACCUCCAUAGGAUGUGCUUAGCAUUCUCCACAGUACAACUGUCAAAUUCCAUUCAGAAGCAACACACUGAGCUGGCCUUGCUAGCAACAGGGCGAUCAUGGAUGUUUUUCAUUAUGUAUUUAGAGCAAAAACAUUGAAGAAGAAUGUAAAGUCAUUCGUAUUGGAUAAAAUUUCUAGAAUCUCAGUUUCACAAUUGAUUAGUACCAAAUCUCUUCAAGUUACUGACUUUUGUUAGAAGCAAAUCAAGUAAGAGACACCGGUUAAAGACUCGGAAUAUGCUUCCCCCGAAUAAACUGUUUGAGAAUGGCUUUCUCUUCAUCAAUUUGUUGCUUCUCAUCAGAAUCCUUUGGCUUGAUUUUUCUUUUCUCUUCCAAUAUCCAAUUGAAAAGCUCACGCUGCUGAUCCUCAGGUAUGGGCUCUUUUAGCUUCAGAACAGCUGGAGUAGGGGAUGGAGUCUCAGGAAUUGAGGGAAUUGUUGCAGACUCCAACAGAUCUUUACCUGAGGCUGGAAUGUCUUGCACGUCUUUCUUCACAGUUUUGCUAUCUCCCAUGUUCAAAUUUUUCAUUCUUGCCUUUGCAAACAUGUAAGCUACAGGUAUUUGAGAGACAGUCAGAAUAUUCCUGUUA